rnacentral:rRNA from 1 species
UAGGGAAUCUUCCGCAAUGGACGCAAGUCUGACGGAGCAACGCCGCGUGAGUGAUGAAGGUUUUCGGAUCGUAAAGCUCUGUUGCCCUAGACGAACAGCAAGGCGAGUAACUGCCCUUUGUGUGACGGUAUAGGAGAAGAAAGCCCCGGCUAACUACGUGCCAGCAGCCGCGGUAAUACGUAGGGGGCAAGCGUUGUCCGGAAUUAUUGGGCGUAAAGCGCGCGCAGGCGGUUAAUUAAGUUGGGUGUUUAAGCCCGGGGCUCAACCCCGGUUCGCAUCCAAAACUGGUUGACUUGAGUGUAGGAGAGGAAAGUGGAAUUCCACGUGUAGCGGUGAAAUGCGUAGAGAUGUGGAGGAACACCAGUGGCGAAGGCGACUUUCUGGCCUAUAACUGACGCUGAGGCGCGAAAGCGUGGGGAGCAAACAGGAUUAGAUACCCCCGUAGUCC